GAGUAAUGCAUCGGAACGUGCCCAACUGUGGGGGAUAGCUCGGCGAAAGCCGGAUUAAUACCGCAUACGAUCCACGGAUGAAAGCGGGGGACCUUCGGGCCUCGCGCAGUUGGAGCGGCCGAUGUUAGAUUAGGUAGUUGGUGGGGUAAAGGCUCACCAAGCCGACGAUCUAUAGCUGGUCUGAGAGGACGACCAGCCACACUGGGACUGAGACACGGCCCAGACUCCUACGGGAGGCAGCAGUGGGGAAUUUUGGACAAUGGGCGCAAGCCUGAUCCAGCAAUACCGCGUGCAGGAAGAAGGCCUUCGGGUUGUAAACUGCUUUUGUACGGAACGAAAAGGUCUGGGUUAAUACCCUGGGCUCAUGACGGUACCGUAAGAAUAAGCACCGGCUAACUACGUGCCAGCAGCCGCGGUAAUACGUAGGGUGCAAGCGUUAAUCGGAAUUACUGGGCGUAAAGCGUGCGCAGGCGGUUAUGUAAGACAGGCGUGAAAUCCCCGGGCUCAACCUGGGAAUUGCGCUUGUGACUGCAUAACUAGAGUACGGUAGAGGGGGAUGGAAUUCCGCGUGUAGCAGUGAAAUGCGUAGAUAUGCGGAGGAACACCAAUGGCGAAGGCAGUCCCCUGGACCUGUACUGACGCUCAUGCACGAAAGCGUGGGUAGCAAACAGGAUUAGAUACCCUGGUAGUCCACGCCCUAAACGAUGUCAACUGGUUGUUGGGUAUUUACUUACUCAGUAACGAAGCUAACGC
rnacentral:rRNA from 1 species